AUGACUGCUGUCCACAGAGGCAGCAUAAACUUCAAAUGGUACCCCAAAAGUCAAGAGAUCAGGACUCUGGUAGUUAAAAUAUUGUUGGAGCCUCUUGUUACACAGGUUACAACCCUGGUAAACACCAAUAGUAAGGGGCCCUCUAAUAAGAAGAGAGGUCAUUCUAAGAAGGCCCAUGUUUUGGCUGCAUCUGUUGAACAAGCAACUGAGAAUUUCUUGGGGAAGGGGGAUAGAAUUGCAAAGGAGAGCCAGUUUCUCAAGGAGGAGCUUGUGGCUACUGUGGAAGAUGAUCGAAAACAAAGUGAUUUGAUGAAGAGUGCUGCAGGAGAGUUUGCAGGUGAUCCCUGUUCUUCCGUGAAGUAGGGCAACAUGGUUUGGGCAGCUCAAGCCUUGCUCUUUGCCAUUACCCAGCUGCUGAUUUUGGCUGACGUGGCAGACAUCUACAAAUUACUUAUUCAGCUGAAAGUUGUAGAAGAUGGUAUCUUGAAACUGAGGAAUGCUGGCAAUGAACAAGACUUAGGAAUACAGUAUAAAGCCCUGAAACCUGAAGUGAAUAUGCUGAACAUUAUGGCAGCCAAAAGGCAACAGGAACUGAAAGACGUAGGCCAUCAUGAUCAGAUGGCUGCAGCUAGAGGAGUCCUGCAGAGAAACGUUCUAAUCCUCUAUACUGCAUCACAGGCAUAUCUACAGCACCGUGACAUGGCAGCCUAUAAGGCCAACAGGGACCUGAUAUACAAGCAACUUCAGCAGGCAGUCACAGGCAUUUGCGGUGCAGCCCAGGCCACCGGGUCAGAUGAUGUGUCCCAGCAAAAGGGGGGAGGAGGAGGAGGAGGAGAACUGGCACAUGCACUCAAUAACUUUGAUGAACAAAUCACAAUGGAUCCCUUGAGCUUCAGUGAGGAGCAUUUUAGGCCUUCCCUGAGAAGCAUCUAGAGAGCAUCAUUAGCAAGGCUGCCCUUAUGGCUGACUCUUCCUGCAUGCAUGAUGAGCAGCCAGAGCGAGUCAUGGCAGAGUUCAGUGCUGUCCACCAGGCCCUGCAGGACCUGCUGUCUGAGUACAUGGGCAAUGCCAGAUGUAAAGAAAGAAGUGAUGUACUGAAUAGAUAAAAUGACUAAGAAGACCAGGGACUUGCAUAAACAGCUCCACAAAGUUGUCAUGGACCACAUGCCAGAUCCUUUCCUGGAAACCAAUGUUCCACUUUUGUAUUGAUCGAAGCUACAAAAAAUGGAAAUGAGAAAGAGGUUAAGGAGUAUGCCCAAGGUUUCCGUGAACAUGCCAACAAGUUAAUUGAGGUUGCCAACUUGGUCUGUUCCAUCUGAAACAAUGAAGAAAGCAUAAAGCUUGUUUGAAUGUUUGUAAGUCAGUUAGAAGCCCUCUGUCCUCAGGUUAUCAAUGCUGCAUUGGCUUUAGCAGCAAAACCACAGAGUAAACUGGCCCAAGAGAACAUGGAUCUUCUUAAAGAACAGUGGGAAAAACAAGUCUGUGUUCUCACAGAUGCUGUCGAUGACAUUACUUCCAUUAAUGACUUCUUGGCUGUCUCAGAGAAUCACAUUUUGGAAGAUGUGAACAAAUGUGUCAUUGCUCUCCAAGAGAAGGAUGUGGAUGGGCUGGACUGCACAGCUGGUGUAGUAUGAGGCCGGGCAGCCCAGGUCAUUCACGUAGUCACCUCAGAGAUGGACAACUAUAAGCCAGGAGUCUACACAGAGGAGGUUCUAGAAGCCACCAAGCUGCUCUCCAACAGUUAUGUCACAUUUUACAUAGCAAGUAGAAGUGGCUGUGGAAUCCCUCAGCUCAGACCCGGUCCAGUCCAUAGAUGAGAACAAAUUUAUCAAUGCUUCCCACCUGGUGUACAAUAGCAUCCAGUACAUCAGGAAAGCAGUGCUGAUGAUAAGGACCCCUGAGGAGUUGGAUGACUCUGGCUUUGAGAUGGAAGAUUUCAAUGUCAAAGUAGGACAAGUGUUGAGACUGAAGGUGAUCAGCUGAUAGCCAGCCAGAGUGCCCAGGAGAUCAUGGCUCAGCCUCCCCAGGAGCAAAAAACGAAGAUUGCAGAACAGGUGGCCAGCUUUCAGGAAGAAGAGAGCAAGCUGGAUUCUGAAGUGUCCAAGAGGGAUGAUAGUGGCAAUAAUAUCAUCAUGCUGGCGAAGCACAUGUGCAUGAUUAUGGUGGAGAUGACUGACUUCACUUGAAGUUAAGGACCACUAAAAAAUACAUCAGAUAUGAUCAGUGCUGCCAGGAAAAUUGCUGAGACAGGAUCCAGGAUGGAUAAGCUUGGCUGUACCAUUGCAGACCGUUGCCCAGAGUUGGCCUGGAAGCAGGACCUGCUGGCCUACCUGCAGCACUUCGCCCCCUACUGCCACCAGCUUGACAUCUGCAGCAAAGUCAAGGUUGAGGUACAGAACCUGGGUGGAGAGCUCGUUGUCUCCGGGGUGGACAGCGCCAUGUCCCUGAUCUGGGGAGCCAAAAACUUGAACACCGUGGUGCACGGUUUGAAGGCGUCCUACGUAGCCUCUGCUGAAUACCAAAAGCUUCUGGGCGUGGCUUCCCUCAACCUUCCUGCCGUGUCCUGGAAGAAGAAGGUGUCGGACAAAAAGCCCUUGAUGAAGGGAGAGAAACAGGAGAAACAGACCAAGAUUAAACGAGCAUCUCAGGAGAAGCACAUGAGUCCCGUGCAGGCCCUCAGCGAGUUCAAAGCCAUGGACAGUAUCUAA